AACAAGGCGUACCUGCGGACCUGCGGAAGGAUCAUUACCGAGUUUACAACUCCCAAACCCAUGUGAACAUACCUAUCGUUGCUUCGGCGGGAUCGCCCCGGGCGCCUCGUGUGCCCCGGAUCCGGCGCCCGCCUAGGAACCUUAACUCUUGUUUUAUUUUGGAAUCUUCUGAGUAGUUUUUACAAAUAAAUAAAAACUUUUAACAAUGGAUCU
rnacentral:misc_RNA from 1 species